UACGAAGGGGGCUAGCGUUGUUCGGAAUUACUGGGCGUAAAGCGCACGUAGGCGGACUACUAAGUCAGGGGUGAAAUCCCGGGGCUCAACCCCGGAACUGCCUUUGAUACUGAUAGUCUCGAGUCCGGAAGAGGUGAGUGGAAUUCCGAGUGUAGAGGUGAAAUUCGUAGAUAUUCGGAGGAACACCAGUGGCGAAGGCGGCUCACUGGUCCGGUACUGACGCUGAGGCGCGAAAGCCAGGGGAGCAAACGGG
rnacentral:rRNA from 1 species